AGAUAACUGCCAAUCUGCAAGCAGUUAUUAAUGAUGUUUGUAGGCACAGACCACUGAGUUUAGGUCCCUUUGUGGUACGUGCUUUCCUUCGCAGUUCAACAAGUGAAGGUUUGUUACUAAAGAUUGAUCCAUUGUUGCCUAAAGAAGUAAAAACUGAAGAAAGUAGCAAAGAAGCUGCCUAAAUGUGUUGAAUUGUGAAAUUAUUUUUUAGUGGAUUAAGAAGCAACAGAGAAAAUUAUAAAACUGCAUAAUUUCUAUGCUUGAUGUCUUAUUGUCUUGUUAUUUCUUGACCAUCAUACUUGAAAGUGAAUUUCAACACUGAAAAAUCUUACACAAUUUCACGAAUAAGAAAAUAAAAUUUCCCUGUGUCUCAACCUGC